CUUUUUUUUUUUUUUAAUUUUAUACCAAAAUAAAUGAACAAAAUAGCUACGUGGUAACAUUGGGUCGCUUCUUGUAAUGUAAGGCCACACUUUCUUUCUAUUUUUGGAUUUUUAAUUUCAUACGUGUUUGUGGGUUCGCAUUCGAGACCCGGUCUUGAGCGUGCCAUGCGACCCUUUUACUGUCAAGGUCGUCUCGGUCGACCUUCGACUGGGUUGCUUUGUUGAACCUUCUGCAUUCAGCAAUAAUUUCAGCGAACUUUCCUAAGAAAUUCUUUUUCUCUUUCUUUCCUUCCCUCUCCUUUAUUUAUUUAUUUGGUUGCAUUCUCAUUCAUUAGACAGAAACUUGUUUAAGGGUCUAAUUGGUAUUAGCAUCCGUCAAAAUUUAUAUUAAAAAUUAAUUUAAAAUUA
rnacentral:misc_RNA from 1 species